CAGUUAUAACAACACUUGAAAUUUACAUAAUUUACAUAAUCUGAUUAGAUAUGACAUGUAAUUAUUAAUCUCCAUUGACAUGUGGUGUGAUUGACAAAAGUGAAACAAUAUAACUGUUGAUAAUAAGGAAAUCUUUAUCAAUAAGAUCCUGGUCGAAAAAGGGUUUUAAGAUUCAGGAUAUUUAUUGUUUGCCAAGAUCACCUGCCCAUAUUGUUUUUCUAAAAACUCCCAAUUAGCAGUGUUUAAACAUAGGAUGGUUUUUUUUGACAAUCUAAGAAUAAACAUUGAUAUCCUUGAUCAAACUCUGUUAAAAAAGAAAAGUUCAGACUCGUAGUGCUUAAAUUUGUCAUUUAUCAACAAAUGGUUCAGGGUUUGGCUAUAAACUUAGAAAAAGACAAGUUUUGGUAGAAUAGCAAUUCAUAUAAGAGACACCUUUGAGAGUGGAUAACUUAUUGGAUGUAUCUAAUUCAUUAUGGUUAAUGUAAUUUAAAAGGAUAGAUUCUAUAAUUGAAAAAGGGGGGGGAUCUUUUGGCACUAUGAUCUUAUCUUAUGGGAAAGACUGAUAAAUACAUAUACAUGUAUAUCCAAUAGAAUUUAAUGACAUUAAUGUCAGUUGUCAAACAAAAGAGAAGCCUAAAUUAUUGACCCAUACGAACAUCUUUUUUUUUUAUUCAUGACAAUGCUGUAUGUGACAUGUUGCCCAUUUUGUGUAAAAUGUCUUCCAAGCUUAAUUAUUCAUCCCCAUAAAAGAAAUAACUAGUAAGCCCCCCCCCUCCCCCCCCAAUGGAAAAGAACCAUAGAAACAAAGUGCACAACAAACUUAAAGAAAAAAAACUGAAAUAGAACAAAGAGUGAAAAAAACUGAAAUAGAACAAAGAGUGAAAAAAACUGAAAUAGAAAAAAGAGUGGACAACACAAGAAUUACAAUGCCAACUUCUGAGUACCUCUUGUACUACAAAAGUUCUUCUAAAGUAACAGUACAUGUGACUUUAUGAAGAACAAAAUAAGUUAUGAGUGGUAUAUAAUUGGCAUACAACAUGACGACUAUUAAAAUCUGCUUCUCUGAUAAAAGUUUAAAGCUGUUGUGAUGUUAGAAGGAAAUCGUCUGUGAAAACCCUGCAAAUCUUCUAAGUGAUUAUGAUUACAUUAAUAUGAGAUCUUCUUCCUCUAAAUGUUUUUCUUUAAGCUCUUUUCAAUAUGUCUUUAUCAAUGGAUUAGAUAUUAUUGAUAACAAGAUUAGUUGACACCAACUCAGAGUCUUAUUCUACACUUAGGACAACUAGAGUUUAACUCACACAUAUUAAACUUUGAAACAAAAUGCACUCGAGUCUAACUAUACAUAUAAGAAAAAGGACAAAGGACACUUGAAGUCUCACUCUACACAUAUUAGUACAAAAGACACUUGGAGUCUUACUCUACACAAACUAGGACAAAAGACACUUAUAGUCUUAUCGUACACGUAUAAGAUCUAAGGACACUUUGACUGGAGUCUUACUUUACAAAAUAUUAGAACAAAAGACACUUGUAGUCUUACUCUACACAUAAUAGGACACAAGACACUUGGAGUCUUACUCUACACAUAUUAGGACAAAGUCACUUGGAGUCUUACUAUACACAUAUAAGGACAAAGUCACUUUGAGUCUUACUCUACACACUAGGACAGAAGACACUUGAAGUCUUAUCGUACACAUAUUAGAUCAAAGGACACUUCAACUGGAAGUCUUACUUUACAAAUAUUUGAAUAAAGACACUUGGAGUCUUACUCUACACAUAUUAGAACAAAAUAUACUUGGAGUCUAACUCUAAACACAUUUGGACAAAAGACACUUGGAGUCAUACUCUACACAUAUUAGAACAAAAUACACACCCCAGUUUUACUCUAGAUACAAAUAUAAGAACAAAAGACACUUGGAGUCUUUACACAUAUAUGAACAAAAACACUUGGAGUAUUAAUCUACACAUAUAAGAACAAAAGGCACUUGGAGUUUUACUCUACAUAUAUUAGGACAAAAGACAUUUAGAGUCUUACUGAGACACAUAUUACAACAUAAGACACUUGUCAGUUAUUGUCUUACUCAACACUAACUAGGACAAAAGCACUUUGAGUCUUACCUUACACAUUUUAGGACACAAGACACUUAGAGUCUUACUGUGACACAUACUAAAAUAAAAGACACUUGGGAGUUUUACUCUACACUUAUUAGGAGAAAAGAAACUUGGAGUCUUACUCUACAUCAACUAGGACAAAAACACUUGGAGUCUUACUCUACACAUAUUAGGACAAAAGACACUAAGAGUCUUACUGAGACACAUACUAAAACAAAAGACACUAGGGGUUUUACUCUACACAAACUAGGACAAAAGACACUUAUAGUCUUACUUUAUACAUAUUAGAACAAAAGACACUUGGAGUCUUGCUCUACAUCAACUAGGUAAAAAGACACUUGGAGUCUUGCUCUACAUUAACUAGGUAAAAAGACACUUGGAGUCUUGAUCAACAUCAACUCUACACAAUUAAACUAGGACAAAUUUAACACUUUGAGUCUUACCUUACACAUAUUAGAACAAAAGACACUUGGAGUCUUGCUCUACACAUAUUAGAACAAAAGACACUUGGAGUCUUGCUCUACAUCAACUUGGUAAAAAGACACUUGGAGUCUUGAUCAACAUCAACUCUACACUAUUAAACUAGGACAAAUUUAACACUUUGAGUCUUACCUUACACAUAUAAGAACAAAAGAAACUUGGAGUCUUACUGAGACACGUACUAGACAUAACACAAUUGGAGUCUUACUGAGACACGUACUAGACAUAAGACAAUUGGAGUCUUACUGAGACACAUACUAAAACAAAAGACAAUUGGAGUCUUAUACUUAACAUAUUUGGACAAAAACACUUGGAGUCUUACUUUACACAUAUUAGGACAAAAGACACUUGGAGUCUUGCUCUACACAAACUAGGACAAAAGACACUUAUAGUCUUACUCUACACAUGUAAGGAUAAAAGACACUUGGAGUCUUACUCUACACAAACUAGGCAAAUGCUAGGACAAAAGACACUUGGAGUCUUACUCUACACAUGUUAGGACAAAAGACACUUCGAGUGUUACUCUACAUAUAUAAGGAUAAAAGACAUUUAGAGACUUACUGAGACACAUUUUAGAACAUAAGGCACUUGCCAGUUGGAGUCUUACUCCAGACAAAUUAGGACAAAAGCACUUUGAGUCUUACCUUAUACAUAUUAGAACAAAAAGACACUUAGAGUCUUACUGUGACACAUACUAAAACAAAAGACACUUUGAGUUUUACUCUACACUUAUUAGGAGAAAAGAAACUUGGAGUCUUACUCUACACAUAUUAGGAC
rnacentral:lncRNA from 1 species